AUUCCAAGAACAAGCAGAUAAAAAUCCGACUUCGAUCCAAUUCACAUCCUCUUUGUACUUUGUUUGCAUCCAGCAAUUGAACCAACAGUCGAGAGUAAUUACCGCGUGGCCUUGUUACCAGCACACAAAAACCUUGGUUUGUCUUCACUCUUCACAUUCAUCUUUUAGAUACAUCGUCCAUGAUUUCACAAGCCAACAAAAAUUUCAACUUGGGAAAUUGCCUUUUAUUUCAAACGUUUGAUCUUCUUUGCAGUAUCUACAAUGUUUUCGCUUAUCUCUGGGUGAUUGAGUUUCAAUAGUUUCUCAAGCUGGAGAGCAGCCUCAGGAAAGGAAUCCUCCUUCAUGCGAAGUUCUGAACAAAGACCAAAAAGAACUAUAUUGACGUCUUCCUC
rnacentral:lncRNA from 1 species